AACGAACGCUGGCGACAGGCCUAACACAUGCAAGUCGAGCGCUACCUUCGGGUGGAGCGGCGGACGGGUUAGUAACGCGUGGGAACGUACCCAGAUCUAAGGAAUAGCCACUGGAAACGGUGAGUAAUACCUUAUACGCCCUUCGGGGGAAAGAUUCAUCGGUGAAGGAUUAGCCCGCGUAAGAUUAGAUAGUUGGUGGGGUAAUGGCCUACCAAGUCUACGAUCUUUAGCUGGUUUUAGAGGAUGAUCAGCAACACUGGGACUGAGACACGGCCCAG
rnacentral:rRNA from 1 species